GCACCAUUAGCUCAGCCGGUAGAGCAGCUGACUCUUAAUCAGCGGGUCAUAGGUUCGAUCCCUAUAUGGUGUACCA
rnacentral:tRNA from 1 species